UCCCUGGUAUCUCAGCUGGUAAAGAAUUUGCCUGCAAUGCGAGAGACCCUGGUUUCAUUUCUAGGUCGGGGAG
rnacentral:tRNA from 1 species